GGGUGGGCUGCAUACCCCGAAUCUCGUGAAUAACCCAAAAAUGUGUGUGCCCCUGAUUGGGCCAAGGUGGGAGCACCGCCAGCCAGAUCAACAAUUCCGCACGGCGUAAACAAACACAAGAGUGCCAAAGUUUGCUGUCACGUGCUUGUCAACAACGUCUUGCCGUUUUAUAACGCCCUGACCCCGGACACGAUGAAGCUUUACAAGUGACCCCGGCCGCGUGGACUUUGCACCCGGCCAACGGCAGCCACUACCUUUCUACCUGCCCUAAAGUCCCCACAGCGCUUUCAUCAUACUUUUAGGACGACGCCAGGACACGGCCUGCCGGCAUUUCCUACAGGGCACGGGCACGAAGGACAUCCUCGUCUACAUCAAACGAGAGCGCCCACAAGGGAUACAGUUGUUAACGUGGCCAAGGAGCAGCGACUAUGGCGGGGACAAAAACACAAACAUGGUUGCCACGAGUGUCGUGAAGGACGAGGGCCGCAGGACGCUUGCAGCCGAAGGAGCAGAGCACUUUAUGUGCAUAUAAUGUCCGCUCCCACACCCAAGCCCAAGCCCAAACACCCAGGACCAGGACCCUUCGAGUACAGUGUCGGCCAAGUUGCGGGGAAUUGUUAAUAUUGUCUGGGCCUGUAAGCAGCAUUUACAUGCUGGCCGACACCACGUACUACAUACGUCCUGGCUGAUGGACGGGCUCCUUUCCGAGCGGAUGAUGCCGGCUUUAAGUAGGCCCUGCUCCCCGCCCCCGGUGAAACAGACAUUGUUUUAAAAAUAUGUACAUCCUUGCAUUUUGCAGAUGUUGAAUUAACCGACGAAACCGGCAGCUUUCAUUAGAGGAGGAUGGACCCAGUGCAGGAGUUUCGGGACAGCAACAGCGGCUGGGCGGCCCCAGGACAUUCGUCUCAUCGCCCCAAAGCAGCCAUCCUACACAUCCAUUGGAUGGCCAUAUCCAUGUCCCGACCACGAUGUGGAAAGCCCAAAUGCCGAUGCAUUCUUGAUUCGUGACAUUAAGACAAAAAUAAACUUGAUUUUGGUAUGAAAUUGAUUCAUUCAUUUUCAAUCCAUUGAGUAAGAUUCUUAUCCGAUGGAUGAGUCGGGCCAGCAUCGGCACUUCCAACUGUGCGCACAUCCAACAGGUAGUCAAACCAGACAAACUGUCUCCACUUGGCGGAGUCUUUUCCUCUUCUCUGCUCUUUGAAAUCACAGAUGAUGAUGCUGAACGCUGAGAAACCAUCCAAAACAAAUCAGUUUGUGGAAAUGAACUCUUGGUCUGUGGAUAGGAAAAGCUCGGAUUAUUUUAAAUUUUCCCUUGGCUGUCCAGGCUGUUAGCGGGCAGCGAACUCUACGAUCACCCACCAAUCCUCGGCUUACUGAAUUUUAAUGGGACCGGAAGCAAGCGAAAUGGUUACAAUACAUACAUAUUUAUAGUUUUUAAUGCGUACCUACAUAACUAAAUCUGAACUAAUAAGAGAAUAAUUGGUUUUAUAUUACCCAAUUGGAAAUGUUUCAAAUUGGAUUGUUACAAAAAAAAAUGUAAAAUAUAUUUUUUAAAAAGGUUUUAAAGGGACUUAUUGAAUGUUUAGUAUUAUUUAAUUACAAAUCUAUGGCAAAGUUUAUAUUUAAAAAUUGUAUAUUCAUUAAAAAAACAUCUAAUUACUUUAUCAUAAGUAAAAUUGGUAUAAUAUAUGUAAAUGAGUUUCCUUAAUCAUUUUAAAAAUCUCAUUUUGCUUACACUUGGUUACAUGUGUGUUCUGAUAAGGAAAAACUAAAUGUGUAUAACAAUUAAAUUAAAAGUUAAUUAUAUUAUUAUUAUUAAAACUUAAAAAACCAACGACUCACAUUUGAGAAAUCCAAACCUAAAAUAUGGUUCAAGAUAUAAUUCUUGUAUCUUGGGAAAAAUAAUUUCAAAUGAGUUCAAUAACGUUUCUUGGCUAAUUUUUUGAUUAAAUAAAUUUUCAUGUUACUUAAA